rnacentral:rRNA from 1 species
UAGCAAUUAUACAGCGAAACUGCGAAUGGCUCAUUAUAUAAGUUAUCGUUUAUUUGAUAGUACCUUACUACUUGGAUAACCGUGGUAAUUCUAGAGCUAAUACAUGCUAAAAAUCCCGACUUCGGAAGGGAUGUAUUUAUUAGAUUAAAAACCAAUGCCCUUCGGGGCUCCUUGGUGAUUCAUGAUAACUUCUCGAAUCGCAUGGCCUUGCGCCGGCGAUGGUUCAUUCAAAUUUCUUCCCUAUCAACUUUCGAUGUUUGGGUAUUGGCCAAACAUGGUUGCAACGGGUAACGGAGGGUUAGGGCUCGACCCCGGAGAAGGAGCCUGAGAAACGGCUACUACAUCCAAGGAAGGCAGCAGGCGCGCAAAUUACCCAAUCCCGACACGGGGAGGUAGUGACAAUAAAUACUGAUACAGGGCUCUUUUGGGUCUUGUAAUUGGAAUGAGUACAAUUUAAAUCCCUUAACGAGGAACAAUUGGAGGGCAAGUCUGGUGCCAGCAGCCGCGGUAAUUCCAGCUCCAAUAGCGUAUAUUAAAGUUGUUGUGGUUAAAAAGCUCGUAGUUGAACCUUGGGCCUGGCUGGCCGGUCCGCCUCACCGCGUGUACUGGUCCGGCCGGGCCUUUCCCUCUGUGGAACCCCAUGCCCUUCACUGGGUGUGGCGGGGAAACAGGACUUUUACUUUGAAAAAAUUAGAGUGCUCCAGGCAGGCCUAUGCUCGAAUACAUUAGCAUGGAAUAAUAGAAUAGGACGUGUGGUUCUAUUUUGUUGGUUUCUAGGACCGCCGUAAUGAUUAAUAGGGACAGUCGGGGGCAUCAGUAUUCCGUUGUCAGAGGUGAAAUUCUUGGAUUUACGGAAGACUAACUACUGCGAAAGCAUUUGCCAAGGAUGUUUUCAUUAAUCAGGAACGAAAGUUAGGGGAUCGAAGACGAUCAGAUACCGUCGUAGUCUUAACCAUAAACUAUGCCGACUAGGGAUCGGACGAUGUUAUUUUUUGACUCGUUCGGCACCUUACGAGAAAUCAAAGUGCU